ensembl:snRNA U1 U1 spliceosomal RNA
AUACUUACCUGGCAGGGGAAAUACCAUGAUCUCGAAGGUGGUUUUUCUAGAGCAAGACUUAUUUAUCGCACUCCGGAUGUGUUGAUCCCUGCUAUUUCUCCCAAUGCGGGAAACUCGACUGCGCAAUUUGUGGUAAUGGGGGACUGCGUUCGCGCUUUCUCCUG